rnacentral:rRNA from 18 species
CAGGCUUAACACAUGCAAGUCGAGGGGUAACAUUGGUGCUUGCAUCAGAUGACGACCGGCGCACGGGUGCGUAACGCGUAUGCAACCUACCUUUUACUGGAGGAUAGCCCGGGGAAACUCGGAUUAAUACCCCAUAGUAUUACCAGAAGGCAUCUGAAGGUAAUUAAAGAUUUAUCGGUAAUGGAUGGGCAUGCGUCUGAUUAGUUAGUUGGUGAGGUAACGGCUCACCAAGACGAUGAUCAGUAGGGGGUCUGAGAGGAUGAUCCCCCACACUGGGACUGAGACACGGCCCAGACUCCUACGGG